AAUCUGUGAUGUGGACCUUUCUGAUUGCCUCUUUGAAUCUCUCCCACGCCUCAUAAAGUGAUUCACCACUAAACUUGGUGAAGUUAGUGAUUUCAUUCCUCAAUCU
rnacentral:snoRNA from 1 species